CGCGCUAACUCCAGGGCUUGGCUGGCAAACGCCGCGCAGAGCGAGGCGAAGACAGCGAACGCUGCGCCAGAGCCCCGUCCACAGAGAGGGACGCCGGUCCUGAGGCCGCCCCGGGGUCCCCGCCCUUCCCUCGCCCUUUCGGCGCCCGGCAGGGAGUGGCAGAGAGGAGGCGAGGUGCUGGAGAACCGGUUCCCUCUCUCUCUCCCGCGCGCCACCCGGCUCGGCGGCCCGGCUGUGGGCUCGAGGAUUCCGGAGCCGCGGGCUGGAGUGGAGGGGGCCCCCGGCCCCUCUCGCGGCGCCGCGGGCCCCAGCGUCUUCUUUCACCGCGCCGCCACCUGCAGACCGACGCCGCGGGCGGCUCGUGCUGGCACAGGCUACUUUGCCGAGCGCAGGAGCAGCUCUAGGGCCCCUUUGGGAUCGUAUAAACUUAGCUCCAAAUACAGCCUAGUACCUGCUCUGCAUUCAAGAGGACCAUUUUCUCCCACAUGAAGUCCUAUGGAUACAAGAACUUCUCAAACCAGUGUCAAGUUUUCAUUGCAAGGAAGUAUCAGCAGUGGUUAAGAGUUCGCUCCAAAUGUUCAUCUUCUUCUUCAGCCCUGGAAGUCAAACAGGAAAUACAUUUAUUUUUCUACGUGGAGGCAGAGCUGCACUCCCCUCUCACCCCGCAAUCUGAGCCCCAGCGGGAAUAAGAAUCCUGGGGCCAGCACGGGGAGGGGGGCGCUGCCCCCGGCCCACUCCAGACCUCUGGACUGAACUUUCCACAAACUUCUCGGCCCCUCGGCUGGCGGCAGAGACUCGACCCCCGACCCCACUGCCCACUCACUGCUUCUCCUGCGCGUCCAGGUCCCUGACGAGCGCGUCGCGCUUGUUCACCAAGGCCACCAGCUCAUCCAGCAGGAGCUGCUCGCGUCGCUUCUGGGCCUCGGUUUUCUGCCAGUCUGCAGAGGACGGGAGGCUCGUUACCCACCCGCAAGACCUUGGCAAACCCGCCUCCCUUCCCGCCUUUUCCAGUUGCCCUGUAUCUCUCCGCAAACCAUGUUACAGAACCACUAACUAGUGUUUUAUGGGGUAAUGGCCGUCCUGAAGAGGAUUUCACCCUAAAACCCCAAUUCCUAAAUAUUUCUCACAGAUGGAGAUGGCUACGGCUGGGCUGGAACCUGCAAAAGAGGCCAGGUGUGAGCCGGUUGUCAGCCGGAGGUGCGCACCUGAUUUUGCCAAAGAGGGGGUAGGGAGAGCCGGAGGCCCAGAAGAGAUCAGCCCGAGGGUUGGUGUGUGUGUGGGGGGGGGAGUGGAUAAAUGAGGGGGCGGGAAGCAGAGAUGGGCGAUAAAAAUCACUCUGAAAAGGCUGGAGAAUCUGCUUGAGAACCUAUCCUUCUUCCCCCACCCCCAUGCUCACCCCAUACAGCCCAUUCUUUGCUAAUUUCCUCUUCGCUCUAUUUUAGCAGUUGGAUGUAUCUCACACUGGGCGCCAUAUGCUUCACAAUAACUUUAAAAGUAGUGAAUCGGCUAAUUAGCAUUUUUCUUUGAAGUAAAAAAUAAAUUUGCUCUGCAAUAUUACACUGCA